rfam:Hordeum vulgare subsp. vulgare, WGS project CAJW01000000 data, contig: morex_contig_36837
CUAAUACUCCCUCCGUCCGGAAUUACUUGUCAUAGAUGUAUAAAAAUGGAUGUAUCUAGAACUAAAAUGCAUCUAGAUACAUUCAUUUCUCUGACAAGUAAUUCCAAACGAAGGGAGUACUAA